rnacentral:rRNA from 1 species
AUUGAACGCUGGCGGCAGGCCUAACACAUGCAAGUCGAGCGGAGCGGCGGACGGGUGAUUAAUGCCUAGUAAUCUGCCUGGUAGUGGGGGAUAACGUCCGGAAACGGGCGCUAAUACCGCAUACUAUCAGAUGAGCCUAGGUCGGAUUAGCUAGUUGGUGGGGUAAAGCCCUACCAAGGCGACGAUCCUUAACUGGUCUGAGAGGAUGAUCAGUCACACUGGAACUGAGACACGGUCCAGACUCCUACGGGAGGCAGCAGUGGGGAAUAUUCGACAAUGGGCGAAAGCCUGAUCCAGCCAUGCCGCGUGUGUGAAGAAGGUUUUCGGAUUGUAAAGCACUGUAAGUAGGGAAGCGUUAUCAACCGAAUAAGCACCGGCUAACUUCGUGCCAGCAGCCGCGGUAAUUC